AGUGAACGCUGGCGGUAGGCCUAACACAUGCAAGUCGAACGGCAGCACAGUAAGAGCUUGCUCUUACGGGUGGCGAGUGGCGGACGGGUGAGGAAUACAUCGGAAUCUACUUUUUCGUGGGGGAUAACGUAGGGAAACUUACGCUAAUACCGCAUACGACCUACGGGUGAAAGCAGGGGAUCUUCGGACCUUGCGCGAUUGAAUGAGCCGAUGUCGGAUUAGCUAGUUGGCGGGGUAAAGGCCCACCAAGGCGACGAUCCGUAGCUGGUCUGAGAGGAUGAUCAGCCACACUGGAACUGAGACACGGUCCAGACUCCUACGGGAGGCAGCAGUGGGGAAUAUUGGACAAUGGGCGCAAGCCUGAUCCAACCAUACCGCGUGGGCGAAGAAGGCCUUCGGGUUGUAAAGCCCCUUUGUUGGGAAAGAAAAGCAGCAGGUUAAUACCCCGCUGUUCUGACGGUACCCAAAGAAUAAGCACCGGCUAACUUCGUG
rnacentral:rRNA from 1 species